AACCCUAGGCGGCGCCUAGGGUUCAUUUUCUCUUUCAUGCCGGAAACGGCAAAGGCUCAGAGAGGAGCAGACUUAUAUCAGCCUUUGUACAUUCGUUUGAGGUAGUAUUAAUUGCUACCUCUCCUUUCCCCGUUCGUUUUCUCCAAUCGCCACCUAAAGAGAUUUGGAAGCACUCAAGGCUUCAAAUCUAAUCUUGUUUACGGCGGCACUAUAAAAAGGGAUGUAUAGGUGGGAUGUAAGUCACUUGACACAAGGAAAGCCUUCUAAUAAAGGCACCCCAAGGAGAGAAUUGAGAAAGGGCCAAGCUCAAGCUAGGUGAUAUGCCGGAUUUUGGCACAUCUAAUGCACUUUAACUCUAAGUUUUACUUGUUUUCGAGCAAGUUUGUGUUACUUUGAUGUGUUUUAUGUGUUGUGCAGGUAUUUUGAAGUUAGAAUGCUCGGAAAGCAAAAAAUAAGGAAAAUAAGAAAUUUGUUCUGAUAAGCAUAAGGACGGACCGUCAACAUGCUCGACGGUCCGUCAAAUCGCCUCGUCAAUAAGUUCCUGCGAAGUAACAAAAUCAUCAGAGCAUCAUCAAAUCAUCGACUUGCACCGUCGACAUGAUCGACGGUCCGUCGAAGUGCUUCGACGGUGGAGUUCCUGCAGAGUGAUAAAAAUAUACUCAGAUCGUCGAUAUGGUCAUCGAGAUGACCGUCGAAGUGCAAAGACGACCCGUCGAAGUGCAAGCCGAGCUGCAACAGGACUGGGAUUGAUUAUUCCGAGCUUGACUUGUAUAAAUACCUGUUUAGGUUUUAUUUUUCAGACAUCUAGAGUUUUAGACUUGUAGUAACUACUUUUGAGUUGUUAUUGCUUUUGAAGAUUUUCAGACAAUUACAUUCAUUACUUUCAAGUUUUAUUCGUAAGUUCAAUACAAUAAUUCAA